rnacentral:rRNA from 1 species
AUUGAACGCUGGCGGCAUGCUUUACACAUGCAAGUCGAACGAGUGGCGAACGGGGGAGUAAUAUAUCGGCACGUCCCGAGUAAUGGGGGAUAACCAAUCGAAAGAAUGGCUAAUACCGCAUAUUAUUCGAGCGGCCGAUAACUGAUUAGCUAGUUGGUGGGGUAAAGGCCUACCAAGGCGACGAGCAGUAGCGGGUCUGAGAGGACGGUCCGCCACACUGUGACUUAGACACGGCCCAGACUCCUACGGGAGGCAGCAGUGGGGAAUUUUGGACAAUGUGUGCAACCCGGAUGCAGCCAUGCCGCGUGUAUGAAGAAGGCCUUCGGGUUGUAAAGGACUUUUGUUAGGGAAGCGGUACCUAAAGAAUAAGCGCCGGCUAACUACGUGCCAGCCGCCGCGGUAAUUC